AAUAACGAAAGAUUAUAGCUGGAUUUAGUGUUGGAUUUGAGACCAAUCGCACAUCUCCACCACCUGGUGCCCAAGUGUCAUACACACCUGACAGAAACAUGGCUUUGAUUACUAAUAAAAACGCACCAAUACCUAGUAGAAUUAAAUGAAUUCCCAAGAUGGUGGUCAUUUUAUUUUUGUCUCUCCA
rnacentral:antisense_RNA from 16 species